CAAUAGCGUAUAUUUAAGUUGCUGCAGUUAAGAAGCUCGUAGUUGGAUUUCGGGUGGGAAUGGCCGGUCCGCCGUUUCGGUGUGCACUUGCUACGCCCACCUUGCUGCCGGGGACGUGCUCUUGAGUUCACGCUCGGGACACGGAGUCGGCGAGGUUACUUUGAGUAAAUUAGAGUGUUCAAAGCAGGCCUACGCUCUGAAUACAUUAGCAUGGAAUAACACGAUAGGACUCUGGUCUAUCUUGUUGGUCUGUAGGACCGGAGUAAUGAUUAAGAGGGACAGUCGGGGGCAUUCGUAUUUCAUUGUCAGAGGUGAAAUUCUUGGAUUUAUGAAAGACGAACUACUGCGAAAGCAUUUGCCAAGGAUGUUUUCAUUAA
rnacentral:rRNA from 1 species